CGUUGCCCUCUCAGCCCGCAAGGGAGCACUCAACGCAGAGAAGAAGAAGGCAGAGGAUAGUGCAGCGGCGAAGGAAGUGGAUGGCGGCUGCGGUGGGGCUCAGCAUGGGGACGUGUCUUUCCCCUCAUAACAGCGAAUGAAAGGCAUUGGUUGUGGCGGCAUUGUAAGAUUUUUACUGCUAGGAACUCAAACUAACAUUUGAGGUGGCUGCCGGGAACACUACAACAGUUUGGACUCUAAGAUUGAAGUACACUGGGCACGUCGAGUAGACCCUGAGCAACAAUACUUGAAGCUCGAGGUGUUUUGUUGACGAAUGACAGGUAUGGCGGCAUUCCAGGUUUUGGCAAACCUGGGGAAACAGGUUGAUCAGAUGGCUCUACUCACAUACUACUGGAAAGGUUUUGGGACUAUUGUAGUGCCGGCGCGUCAUGUUUUGGUCUUAUUGAUGUCUUGUUUUUGCCAGACAUCAAUGUUGUGGUUUGGGACAUUUUUUACAUAUGUAUUAUUGAGAAAAUAUGAUGUCAUUUUGUAUGGACUAAAUUUGUCAUAUAAUGGAAAGUAGCCCCAUUGUCUUUGAUGUGCAUAGCUCAUUUCCUUUUGAAUCGUUGUGUUGUUGCACCUCAACGUUUUAUGUUUUAACAAAACAAAAAGAAAGGGUUAUUUCAGGGUCAAAGGGUUGGGGUGUGACACUUAGUGCUUAAACUCAGUGAUCGAUUUGGUUUAAAUACUAAAAGGUCAGAUUUUCAACUAGUUGCUUUCUCCUUCACAUGAUACUUUUACUAUCGAGGCAAAUGAAAAUGACUCUCUUGAGUACUAAAUCAAAAAAGUUGAUACUUCACUGAACUCUAGCCACACAUUCGAAUAGAUAGUAGAAACACAUGAAGGAGCAUCAUAGAGAAAUGCAAUGGUUGCAAGUUGCUAAAUAUCAAGGGGUAUUCAAUUAUUAUAAAAAGGGAAUGUAUUUUAUUUAUUUUGACAAAUAAACAUCCCAUCAUUUCAUUUUGCCCUUCUAAGUGGGUCUCUCAUUUAUAAAUAGAAAGGCAUUUUGGCGGUUUUGGUUUAAGGCAAACAACUUGCAUGUUCUAGUCAAGUAUGCUAAAAUUGAAAUUAAAUGAUUUAGCCCUGCCGCUUCUUGCAUCUGUGCUUAGUCCUUAUUCAAAAUAGAAAUUUGUCGAGUAACUAUAUGCAAGAAACAUUUUCUAUAUCUUAUGAACUUGUAUGCUACAAGAAUGUAUUGGUUAAUGCAGAAAAUGGUGAAUAAUUUGAACUCUACUAUAAAAAAAUAAAAUUAUAUUUUUAGCUUAAUUACUUGUCAUUUGUUAUUAGUCAAUCCCUUUUGGAAAUAUCAUUUCAUCAAAAUUGAGUUUUUCACAAAACCAACAUUUGAUGGUCACUCCAAGCACUCCUUAAACAACAUUUUGUCAACAAAGUACCAUCUUAAGUUGUCAUCCUAUCAUACCCUUGAAAGUUUUAGAAGCAUUUGAAUUUAGGUUUAAUUAAAUGGGGUUUUAAUGCAUGCUUUAAACGCUCACUCUAAUGUUUAUAGGAAGGAAAAGCGAGUUUGAGGACAACUAUGUAAGGCGGUAUGGUGUUUCUUUGUUGACAAGGAAAUGAUUUUUUAUCUUUCAUUUUUCUAGGUUUAAAUGGUUUCUCUUGGAAGUUGCCAUUGCCUCAGAAAAAAGUUCAAAUUUCUGUCCAUUAUUUAUCCAAGUUGCAGCCAAAUCGUAUUGCAGAUUUGAUUGUUUUCCAACUCCAAACACAUGCAGCAAGUUGGUCCAAUUACCAAGUCAAGCUUUUGGCUGAGUCACAACUUGCUCAUAGAUGGACAUUUCUUCCACCUUCUUGUGCAUGAAUUCCCAAGAGGGCACCAUCUAGUUUGGUUAACAUUGAGCAAAAUGAUGCAAUUUUAAGUUGAUAUGCUAACAACAUAAAAGGUAGGGCUGCACAGGAGCCGAGUUGAGCCCAAGCUUGGCCAGCUCGAGCUCGACUAUACAAAGUCCAGCUCGAGUUCGACUCAUUUAACCCAUUUAACUCGUUUAGGCAUUAAAUGUGUCCAAAUUUUCUGUUGCAACACCUUUCAACCCAAUUUAAAACCAAUAUAUAAAAGCAUUGAACAACAUUUAAACGAAAUUAGCUUUGGCAUAUUUUGCACAGUAUUUCAUAACUUCUCUCAGCUCCUAUCUGUAAACUAAAUUGUGUAAUUCAUGAGGAAGCCAAAUGCGCUUUGGCAAGUUGUAAAAGAAAAAGCAGCAAAUAAUACUGUUCAAGGUAGCAAAUAAUAAUUGAACUGUAUACUGAUUGUUAACAGGAAGUUCCUCUGGUUGAGAUGCUACACAGUACACACCAGAGGAUCAACUCGCCAAGGUGAAAUGGCUGAAAUUGUAUGUCUGUCAAAACAAUGCGAAAUCAAUGUUUAUAUACCAAAUCAUGGUUCAACCUGAAGCUGACAUAGAACAGCCAAAAGUUAUUAUGAUUACACACCAAUGCCAUUUUGCAUUAAAUAAGUUUACUUGUAGAAAUGCAUGGCUGACACAUUUGCCUUCUGAACAGUAAGCAUAACAGCACCCAUUUGAUUCUGGACAUAGCCCCAGCAUCUAAACAAAUAAUAUAAUCAGUGUAAGUUAGAAGUCGAACCCUCCAUGCUGCAAGAAGGAAUUUACCAUUUUCCGCCACUGCUGUAAAGUGUAAACAAUCCAAAGCGGAUAUUACUUCAAGAUGGAAUUUUAUGAAGAGCUUAGAACACACUGCUUCUGUCACACCCCAACCUUUUGACCCUCAAACACUUUUUUUUUUCUAACAUAAAGCAUUGAAGUGUGACUACACAACAACUCAAAAAAAAGAGCUAUGCCAUUCAAAACAAUGGGGUGAACUUUCAUUUAUAAGCCACUUGCUUCCUGUCAACUACAACGCAUGAAUUCCUAUGAACGAAUUAAUUUACACAGUACAGUAACAUCAUUUGCUUGAGAUUGCAUUUUCGUGUCUAUUUUGCUAUCUUGAAUUUCUUAUAGGUUUGCAUCACAGAGAUGAUAUCUUUCUUUUC